AGGGGCAAUUGCGAUCCUAUCACAUGAGGUUGUGGCCUGGUUUGUAGAUUUCACAUCUUAUGGUUGAAUUUAGUGGCAGUAUUAAUAGUGGCAUGGCCCAGGAUAUGACGUUUGUUUUAUACCUAAUAAUUUAAUGAGAGUUCCUGGUUAAAAUCUUGACUAAACAUGUCCAUACCGAUGCUUUCCAAUUCCAUAAUUCUCUUGGCCAGGACAAAUAGUGUUAUUAACAAUCGGCAGCUUUAACCAAUGGACUUUGGCCAUUUGUACUGUAACCAAUGGUCCUUAGAUUCAUGGGCUUGCCAUACGUUUUUCCAAGAUGCAAUUGCUGACAGAAUUUAAUUUUUGCACCACUUGAAAGUCCUUGUAGAUUGAGAAUGUUCAGGGACUUCAGAGAUUAUUGCAAUUGGAGCCUGGAGGGAGGACCGACGACUUUGGUUUUCUACUUGAAUUGAACAAGUCCUCUCUAGUGCCUGAUAAUUCUGCAUCGACGGCGGUCUCUUAAAGUUUCAUAUGUUGCACAUGGCUGGUUAAUGUCCCCUCUAUUAUUUAGCUAACUGCAAGGUCAGGAACUCUUUGAUCAGCAAAAUGAACGGCUGCGGGCAAGAGACCAUACUAUAGUGAUCAGCUUCCGAAAUGGAAAGGUUGCGGGCAAGAGAAGGCACUAUCAUUUGAACAACAAGGAAAAAUUCCCCCUGCCUGUGGAAACGUUUUUCUCGUCACUACCAUUUGAGCUAGAGGACUGUUCUGGGCCAGAAAAUCUCCCUCUACCAAGAUAGCACGCAAAUACCUCAAUCAAGAGAAACGAAACUGGGUGGAAGGGGAAGAAGAAGAAGAAUAAGAAGUAGAAACAAUUUGGUUUUCUUUUCCCAAAUGUAUAAUUGGUUCUUAAAAAGCAAAAAAGGAUUGGAGGUGGGAAAGUGAUUAAUUGGUGAGAAACUAGAAUAGAAGACCUGGAAGGAUGUCCUGAAACUCUUAUAAGAACUUUAGCCCCAUGAUCAGGAGACCGGUGCAAGCAAAGAUGAAUAUGCUUUGGAAUUUGUACGAAGCAUAUUUGAGCUUUUGAGGGAAGCAAAGGAUCAUUUUCCCUUUGCCUUUCUUUCCAUGCUCCAAUCGUCAGGUUGCUUUCCAUUUCUAACUCCUGUUUCUCUGUGUCUCCGCUGAAAUGAAUAAUGAUUAAGGAGUGGUAACAGUUCCUUCCCAGGGUGGGAAAAAACAGGUACGUAAUCUGAAAUGGGAAUGUCCAAAUUGGCAGGUCAGUGAGCUCGUGGUCUUUGAUGCCUUGUCCAUUUUGACUGUACUGGGUUGCUUAGUUGUGAGGGUUACGCCUUGUUGAGCAAGAGCAGCAUUUUUAUUUUCACCCCCAUAGAGCUAAUAUGCUAUUCAUCAGGUUCCAAGGCAGUCCGGGAGCCUGGUCUUGUAUUUUGGGAGGCUGAUGUAUGUAUUAUAUCAAAAAACAUUUGUGAUUACUAAAGUAUAUUUUCUCUAAAAAAAUUGUGAGGCAACUUAAUUUAAUUAAAAUAAGUUUUAUUAAAGAGCAAAGAGAGAGAAAGAGGGAGAGGGCGUCGCGCUGGUGUGAAUCGCUAUUGUCGGACUCUUCUGCCUCUGAGAGGAAGACCGGUGAUAUACUCAGUGCCGAAGUUUGAGUGGUUUCGUUGGCUGCCCCAUGACUAUUCGAGACUGAAAGUGUGAUAGGCUGGUCUGUUUCUGGUUUCUAUUAACAAUUGCCAUUGAAGCAGCUUAUGACAACCAUCGGGGCUCAUUUUGUGCGGUUGGAGUCUACCAAGUUCUUUUUUCCUUGCAUGCAAGUCAAUCACUUUUACUUUCUUUUUUUCGGCUGUUCGGGUUUGGACGAUGCCUACGCAGAGUUUGCUGUGGUGGUUGAUGGUGCUGAACUGUGGCUCUUCUUUUCUGUUCCGAUUUGACUAGUAUUCGAUGAGCAGUAGACAAUCAGUUGUGGACUGCAAUUUUAUGUGUCGUGGGCUUCUUCUUGUUGGACCAUUUGUUCUUUUCUGACUCUUUGAUAGAUCCUUAGUACUGUUGUUCAACGAGCCUUUUAAUGCAAAUCCAUUUACAUGGUAAAAAAAAAGUUUAUUAAAAAAUUAAUUAAAGGAAGGAAAUACAAAAUGGAAGGCCUUGCUUUUUGCUUUCCCCGCUAGUGGUGGUUUCUCUCCCCCACUGGUGUGGUUUUUAUAUUUUUUUAAGCCAGAUCGCGGUGCUGCAUGGUGAGAGUUUCAGGCGAGAUUUGAUGGUGUGUUAAUGGUUUUGUUGUUGUAGUCAUCCUAAUCUUCCCUGAGUACGGGAGGUUGUCAAAGCACGUGGUAGCGAACAUAGCAAAGGAUGUAAGUCGAUCCCCCAUAGCUAGCGGAGAUUGAGACGCUAUGGCCUCUGCUUCUCUUCCGUGACUUUUGGUUUUGGACCCAGAGGUUUCAGUUUCUUGCUUUUUGUGUCGUUGAACGAGUCUGUUCUCUUGAUUUUGCUUUGACAUUUUGGAAGAUCUGUUCUCUUCCUUUAGCGGCUGAAACCUGUCUCAAACGUCUUAGGUCCAGUGCGUGGAUUUUGAGCAGCCCUGUGGUUGUCCUUAUUUGUUUGGGUUCUUCUCAAGCAUGUGAGGCGAUGACGCCUUCUGUGCUUUGCUGUGAAGAUAGCUACCUAGAGUCGUCGGCUUGAGGCGGUGUUACGGUUUGUUUGCUGGGCCUAGUUUCUUUGAAUUGGGCUUUGUGAUUAGGAUGUUAGGCUUUUCUUUUUUAGCCUUUCAUAGCCUAGUUGUAUCUUCUGCCCUUAUAGCCUUUUAAUGCAAUUAUAAUUUUCAUUUAAAAAAAAUUAGUAA